rnacentral:rRNA from 1 species
CCUACGGGGUGCAGCAGUGAGGAAUAUUGGUCAAUGGCCGAGAGUCUGAACCAGCCAAGUAGCGUGAAGGAUGACUGCCCUAUGGGUUGUAAACUUCUUUUAUAUGGGAAUAAAAUGUUCCACGUGUGGGAUUUUGUAUGUACCAUAUGAAUAAGGAUCGGCUAACUCCGUGCCAGCAGCCGCGGUAAUACGGAGGAUCCGAGCGUUAUCCGGAUUUAUUGGGUUUAAAGGGAGCGUAGGUGGAUUGUUAAGUCAGUUGUGAAAGUUUGCGGCUCAACCGUAAAAUUGCAGUUGAAACUGGCAGUCUUGAGUACAGUAGAGGUGGGCGGAAUUCGUGGUGUAGCGGUGAAAUGCUUAGAUAUCACGAAGAACUCCGAUUGCGAAGGCAGUUCACUGGACUGCAACUGACACUGAGGCUCGAAAGUGUGGGUAUCAAACAGGAUUAGAUACCCCGGUAGUC